CAGAGUAGAAAAAUACAUUUAUUUUAGAUAAAGUCAGCUUCACAGACAGUAGUAGCUUUGCGAGUGUUACUGAAGAUACUGUUAGUGCAAGCACGUUUUUGAUGUCUGCUCAGAACUGCUCUAGUUAAAUCUAACUGCAUCUCACCACUCCUUCUUGCUGCAAUUAUUUAUCCAGAACAUUUCUUCCAGCUGUGCUGACUGGCCCUUUCAGAGAUUGUCGACAUUUCCUCUUGGUUUUCUUCUCCCUACUUGGCCUGUUUUGUAGGUUUUCUUCCAGCUAUUCAAGAGCAUGAUGAUCUAACUCCAUGAAGGAUUAAGUUGUUAAAACAGGCAGAGGCUGACCAGAGAUCUAUUGAUGGCUGAGUUCUAUCUUUGAUAUCUCUGACAGUAAAGAGAUUGUGCCCUACCCAGUCCAUCCUUCUGUGCCUUCUGCUCUGCAGGGCUUUUUCCAAUUAACGGUCAUUGCAAAAUCAAUUUUCUCUAGUUAGGGCCCUCAACAAUCUCUGGAACUUUGUUUAAUGUUUGCAAGAGAUUUGUGGAAUCUGCUUUUUUAUGCUUUGGUAAUAAUCUGGUAGGUUUUAACUUGGUCUCUCUGACAUGAUAAUAAUACAUAGCCCACAGUAAGGCAGCGACCCACCAAGGAUACCUUGUGUGAGAACUAAGCAGGGUAUGUGGGGGAUGUCCUUACCUAUCCCAAAAUCCCACGGCUCUAUACUGGAUCACUGUGACUGGGAGGUGAAAUGAAAUGGAAGGAGAGAGGGAAAAGUUGUUUUUUGCCAUGAUUAUGAAGUCUUUGUGGUUUUAAGCCACUCAGGCUGAAUAUCCUAACUGAAUAUGCUCCAAUAGCUAUGCCAGGUUAUACUUGCAAUAUGGUAUAAAAUUCAUGGCAUCGAGUUCUGACAGAAGCAGCCAAGGCAAUGUGCAGCUCAGUUCAGGUUUGCUGUACAGACAUUAUCUAAUUUUAAAGGGAAUAACUCCAGCGUGGGCCAUUGCUAAGCCUGGGGGAAGAGGCCAUGCACUGACUUGUGCACAUGGUUUGGGAAAAUGGUAGUGGUUGGGCAAGGGGGAAGGAGGUGCAGAAGGGAUCAGGAGCAGUGUUUGGAAGAACUAGGCUGAGUCUGAGAGCUGCUACGUUUCUUUUCCUACAGUACAUGGAUAUUGCUGCCACAGGACUAAAGCACAUCUUGCUUACUUUGCAAUGGAACUUGAGAUUAAAAGGAGCAAUUAAAAAGGUAUUCAGAAACUGUUUUUUCUCUAUCUUAGGAAAAUAAAACAGAAGAAAAAGACAACUGCUAAUCAUACAAGCUAAUACUCUUUUACUUAAGAGACCUAUUCGUCUUAUUGCAAAACAUAAUGCUGUCCAAAGAUUGCUGAGCUUGCUCUGAAGGGGUAAAGCUGAGUGCUAGAAACACUACAGUUGUGUUGGAAUAGUCCUUGGUGGGGCUGGAGCACCUCUGCACACGCAGGGGUUUUCUCCUAUAUGCACAUAUGCACACUGCUAUGCACAUUGCAUAUUGCUAUUCCUAAUCCUCCAAGGCAAGUAUCAAACCAGAGCCCUAACCAUCUAAGUAAGACUGCUAAAUAAGAAGAGUGACAAGCAGGUUAUAGGUCCCCAUCCUGGACUUUGAUCAGGCUUCCACUAUAGACUACAAUAUCAGUCAGAGUUUUAUCCCUUGUUUUGUCAACAAAAGUCACUCUGUGGAUUUAGUUAUGACAAAACUGUGCAUUCACCAGGGUCACUUAUUUCACCCAUAUUACGCAGCAAAAAUGAAAUUCUGCCAGAAUAAACAUGUCUACACCAUGUGCUAGAACAGCUUACUAGAAAUAGCUACUCCAAGACAGCUCUCUGCUAUGGCCCAUGUUUAUCACAGGGAAACUGGGAGAUCUUGCUCUAGCACAGAUCAAACUGCAAGACAUAAGGUCAGACAGCAAGAGUCUGGGAAGUGUCCCAAUUCCUAAUGUUACUUCUCUUUGCCUUAGUAGCAAAGAGGUAUUGGCAGCUUUAGUCACGCUGCCUCAUGCAGAGGAGCUACGGACCAGGGGAAGCUAACUGUUUCUGUCUGGUUUAAUUUGACCACUUAAACAGUUAAUCCCUUUGUAAUGUCAUUUUUUGGCAUAGACAUCAUGUCUGUCUACUUCUGAAAAGAUCUUUUUAUUAAUACAGCUUUUUAGCAUAUGAAACAGUUUGCAUCAGCUUACAGUGCCUUAGCAGCAGCAGACCGCUGUCGGUAGGUAUGCACACAGACAGGCACACAGACAUAGGCAUCUAUCCAUCCACAUUACGUCUAAACAUCCCUUGCUCAGUCCCUUCUAAUUCUUCUGAUUUAUUUAUUUGGUCACUUUUUCCAGUGUUUUCAUAUCUUUUGUUUCAUGGACAACGUUGCUACCUUGUUCCAGUAUGUUUAGCUCAGGCUCUGCUUUGCUUUAAAUCCUCCCUUACUUGUAAAUAGUGAACAUACUGGAGGGAGUCCAAUGAUUAAGGGACUGGAGCAUCCCAAAUGAGGAAAGGCUGAGAGAGCUGGGAACGGUUUCCCUCAGAGUAGAGAAGGUUCUGGACAGAUAAUAUAUAUAUAAAUAUCUGAAAAAGAUGGAGCCAGGCUCUUUUUCGUGGUGCCCACUGAUGAUAUAACACACAUAAACUGAAACACAAGAAGUAGUAUCUGAAUAUAACCCUGCCCACAGCAGGAAGGUUGGAACUAGAUGAUCUUUGAGGUCCCUUCCCAAAUUGUUAUAUCAUUCUAUGAUAAGGAAACUCUUCUUUACUAUGGGAAUGACUGAGCAAUGGAGCAGGUUGCCCAGAGAAUUUGUAGAGUCUGCAUCCUUGGAGAUGUUCAAAAGCUGCCUGGACACAUGCUGAGCAAUGGGCACUAGGAAGCCCUGCAUGAGCAAAAGAAGACUUUACUCAAUGACCUCCAGAGUGCCUUCUGAAAUCAGCAGGUGUGGGAUUCUCUGAAAUAGGAUCGUUAGAUUAGCACUUAGGUUCAGCAGGACAAUGGUGCAGGGAAUUUGUUUGUUUUGGUUUGUUUCUCAGUAUGUAAAGAGUUUGUGACAACUUCAGGGCACACUGAAAUAAUUUCAACUGCAGUAGCAACCACUUGCAGUAGACAGCAUACAGGGAAACGACUUUCAUAAUUAAUAUCAACAUGCACAGUCCCGAUGCUGAGAAAGCGGCAUCUGUAACUAGACAAGUAGACGGGAGCUGCUCUCUUCCACGGUUCUUUUAUUUAUCCCUGCAUGAAAGUGAUGAAAUGUCAUCUGUUUUUGCACGUGUGAAAAGAUCUUGCACAGAGGACUCAUGGCUAAGAACGUGCAUGUUGUGUUUUCACAGCAAAAAUAAUGUUGGUUUGCAAUGCCGAGGUAUGUAGUAUUUUUACUAGAGCUGUGAGAGAUUAAAAAAACUGCUGAGAAGACAUGGCCCUAUAUGUCUCUUUUUUUCCCCCUUUCUUUUCUAAUUAAUUUAAAUUAAUUUAAUUUAAGUCCACUCAGAAAUAUAGUCAGAAGUAGAGGAGGAGAGGGAGUGGAACAUAGACAAAUAGGGGAAUGAAAACUGAGCAUGAUUUAAAUAGGAAAAUCAAGUUUCACCUGCACCUGGAGUAAUUGUGGAAAGACAUGGCUUUCCAACAGAUGAUGAUUUUUUUUUUUUAAGUACCUGUAAUGGGCCAUGGGAAGGUGAUGGAGUAACAGAGUAGCUGAACUUGACUGAAAAUAUGUUUAAUUUAGAGAUUGCCAGAUACCCUUCUGGCAACUUCAUAUUAAGGUUUUUAUAUGCUGUGGGGUAUUUCUUGUUCUCUGGGUCAAAUUUGGAUAUAUUCUUACGGUAGAAUGUAUUGUGUGUCAGCUGACAUGCAUUAUGCUCUAUCUAUGUCUUGUGAAAGUAAAAUUAGGCAAGCAAGAUGUUCUGAGGCAAAAUUUGAAUAAGAUACAUUAGAAUUAAGAAAACAGAUACAGAAACACGCUUUCAUGGGUUAGAGAAGAAGAUUUAAAACAAGAAAUCUAAAAGGCCUGAAAAUAUAGUAACUGUCCUUAAAUUGUCUCUAGUAAAUUUACUUUCUAAAAGAAGAUAUCCAAAGACUUAAUUGUAUUUCAUGCCCCUAGCUCUAAUGCCACACUGUUUCAGUAUUUAUAUAUGCCCUGUAAAGCUGGUAUAUUUGAUAUGUCAUUCAUUAGUCUGUGCUGGCUUAUUCUUUGAGGUGUGGUAAUUAAGAUCAGUUCUUUAGAGGAUUCAGUUAUUCUGUUUUGGGCUUGUUAAUAUGUUAGUUGUGUAUUCUGAUUCCAAUUGUUUAAUGGUUUCCAUUAAAUAAUGAAUAAAACCCCUUUCGGGAAGCCAGUUAGAAAUGCAUGACUUAUUCAGUGUGAGGUAUCUUCAAAUCUUGGCAGCUUUGGGCUGAGGAAGAAUUGAAAAAUAGUUUUAUCCCCAACCACACAGUGACAAAGUGAUUGGAUUGUUUUAUAUGGUAGUGAAAUUGUUUGUACGGGAAAGUGACUUUGUCUUUGUUACAUAUUUGUUUCAUAAAUUAGAAAAAAAGAUCUAAGGUAAACGUUCAGCUCAUCUGGUUUAUAACAGAAACCAUGACUAUAGUGGAUAGAGUACAAAGAUGAGCUCAUCCAAGAAUUCUUCUGAAACAGCAAUUUAUCACCUAGGUAAUUUUAAAGGUUCCUCGUGUCAUUGUAAGGGUGGCAGACGCAGACUUUAAAAAAAUGUUCUUUAUAGUACCUGAAUAGGCUGAUGCUUAAAACAGAGACUUAACUAAUGAUAGACUAUGCAUCUUGUAACUAUUGGCUAAAAAUCUUCAGCAUCUGCACUGAAAUGGAUCACAGAAAAUUGUCUCUUCUUCCAUUCAACAAGGAUGACUUCCAGUAUCAUUAGCAAUUGUUCCCAAGAAAAUUCUGGUUUGGAUUAUAUUAUAUAUACAAUGGGAAUUUAUUUGAGGUUUCCCAAGUUUACUAGUUCCAUUCCCAUGAGCUAACAGACAGUAGAUCAAGUGCUUAACAGUCAAGAAUUCCCAUGGCAAAUAUCCACCAACGUCCCUUUCAUCUGAUGCAAUGGCAUAGUGCCCAUUCUUCUGCUUCAUCAUUCUCCUUCAGUAUACUCAGAGUUCCAGGAAAGGGCCAUAUCAUGUAUUAGACUUCGCGGGAGACAUGAAGCCUAAUCUUUAAAACCUUAUGGUUCUAUUUCGUUUUUUUUUUGCUGACCACUGGAAACAAUUACAGAACAGACAACACAUGAGAAUGUCUGACAGCUUCUUCAGUUUCUUUGCGCUCAAUUGCUUAAUGAGACUUUAGGUUUAUGCUUAUUGCAAUCACAGUACCAGAGACUUCAUUUACAUCUACAUCUUGCAAAUGGACAAGAACUGGGUAACUGAUGGUCAAGGUGGCUCUCGUGAGGGCACCUGAAACCCACCUGUUUGGCCUGGACAUACCUGCUGAUAUUGGCACUAUGGAUCUCACAUCAAGGUAAAUUAAUGGAAGUGUCUUACAACACCCUGGGAACCCAAACUGCAGCCCAUCUGUACUCAAAUCACAUCAGAGAUGUCUACCAGGGCAAUCCGUCAUCGAGCAUGAAGAGAGAUGUGGAUCAAAAAAGCGGGUGACUACAUUCAGCCAGAGGCAGCCUAAACCGUGAUAAGCAACUCCUCUGUAUGGACCAGACAAGGGGCUGCAGAUGCAGCUUUAAAGGUGAGAUCUGCAUACCACAAGAUGAGGACAAUAGGACCCAUCCAGACAGCUAAUGUGAUUCGCCAAUAAAACACCAGAAUAUGACAUUGCUGCAUAACAUAGAAGACCUUCUCUUGCUUUUAUGUACAUAUUUGUUGCAAAGAAGAAUAAGAAAGUGUUUAAGGAAUAUAUUAACUCCCCUACAGUUCCUUAAAAUGAAAGUAUGGGCUAUGAAUUAUGUACACCUCUCUGUAAGGACCAAAGCCUGACAAAAAAAAGAAACAGAAGAUUUGCAUUCAGAGACGUCUCUAUUUUAAUAGAGAAGGAUUUUACCCAAAAGUACGUGCUACUGUGUGACAGACAGCUGCUUGACUGGCAAGAGGGAAGCAGAUGACUACCUGAUGAUGGCCAAUUUUCCUGCAGCUCAGCUGGAGGGCUUCUAGUCCAAGCCAAGUUGUCUUGGCUCCCUCUAUAGUCCAAAUAAAGAAAAAGGCACUUCUGGAGAGCAGCUGUUCUCAUACCACACGUUUAUCUUUGGUGCACUGAUGCCUCUUGAUCCCCAGCGUGCUGCAGAGGGGACCUUGAUGAGCAUCUUAGACAAGAACUCAAGUAUUUGACAGUCAACACCAGGCUGUUGAACUAACUGUUACUAGGUUUUCAAACAUAAUGGAAAACAGUGGGAAGUAGAAUUUAAAUAGGACUUGAACAGCAAUUUUGCAAUUUUUCCAGCCUUAACAGAAACUUUAUAAGACUUCUAAAUGCCUCACACAUCCUGUCCUCCCAAGGUUCUGGAUGUUACUUGUGAGAUACCCUUGGACUAGGGUUGUGUCUUCUGCUCAUUGCUGUACAGAGCUAUCUUAUGGAGCAAGAGGAUAGCCAAAAUAUCCUGUGCUUUGUGUGUGAACUUACUAAAUGGCAUCCAAUUUAUCUACAGAGAACAUUUAAGCAAGCAGAAAAGUAUUUCCCAUUGUGUAUGCACAAUCAGACUGGUACACUGCACAGUUAGUUUCUGCUAUGAAUUCCAGAGAGUUCAAAAGGUAACAUUAGUUGCACCUAUGUGGUUUUGCUCAAGUAAAUGAGGACAUUUUCUCUGCACAGUGCCCACACUUUCGCUACUAGCAGCUACUUCUAGUUGUGCACAGCCAAGAGCCAUUUUCUUUCAAAAUAUGUUCCAUGAUCCCAAACUUUUCUGCGUGGACUUAUUUGGGAAAGAACAAAGCCAGCUGAUGCCCUUGCUCCAGUCGAUGGGGGUACAUACAACCCUGUCUGGAGGAGUGAAGUCAGGUGAGUGCAAUCAGGAUACAUGCAGUUGGAAACCUUCCUGCCUUUCCUCCCAUCAGGUCUUUGUCAUACUCUACUCUAAAUAAGAGCACAUGUUACUUAAGACAGUAAUGUGAACAUUUUGCAAGGCGAAUUGCUGCAGAUAUGUAAUGGCAGAAUGUGGAAGAGGAUAAGCAACAAAUGCUCUGCAUUGUCAGGCUCAUACCACAGAUUAUCUCCUAGAGAAUUACAUUACUCCACCUGGAUGCUAAUAAAUAUAUUCAAGUAAAUUCCACUAUAUUAGUAUGGCAUUUUUAGCUUAAAAAUGUAUUAAACUCAAUUCAUACAAAAGUAUUAGCAUUUCAAAACUAGACCUAUACAGAAAUAUUUUCCUUACCAAUUUCCUGAUCUGAGUCACUGCUUUUAAUUCAAGACAGCUGUUCCAUGACAGGACAGGACUCAACUGAGAUCCCAGUGAUGACUCCAUUGCCUUGGGUGUAGUAACGAAGACGUGGCCACUGCAGGGUUGUGGUCUGGUUUUUAAACAUAACAUGGCAAGUUAGUGAAACAUUAAAAUGCAAGAGAUCAUUAUAUUCAAGACUUUCUCUUCCCUGCUCCUUCUCCUAAAGGGGAAAUCAGACACACAGGAUUGUAGACUUCUGCCACCACUUGCCAUGGGUGGGUGCAGUUGGACACCAGCUUAAGGCAGAAAGGACAAAGCUGAGGAUGAGCUGAAAGUGCUUGCACCAGCCCCACGGCUCCAUGCUCCUCCAGUGUGUUUUUGAGUAGCAUCAUGCUUCUGAGAAUAUGUUCCUUAGAGGACUUGGUGAAAAAGAAUAAGAGCAUGAUAAGCAAGACCAAAUAAAUAUUACAUAAACUUAUUUUCAUAAGUAAAUCUCAAGGUACUUUACAAUGGAAGGUCCAUCUUUUUUCCUUUAUGCAACACGAGAAACUGAGGCACAGAGAAAGUACAUAAAUAAAUAUAAAUUAUAAAUUCUUCAGAUUUUGUCUUGAACAGAAAUCAGAAUUUACAAUUCAUUGGUUAUUCUGAAAUAAAAAAUAAAAUAUAAAAUAUUGAAAGGGAGAAAAGUAAACUGGAACUUUGUUGUCAACAUUAGACAGGAAGCUAGAAAAUGUUGUCACUUUAACCCAGGGAAUGUCCUUCGUCAUUGUAUAUUACAGUGUUAAAAAGGUAUAAUCAGUAGUACAGAUUAAAAGUCAAAUAACAGUAAUUAUAAUGAUGAAAUAUAUCUUUUAUUGAAAUAUGUCAUAUUAAAAAGAAAUAAAAUGAACAGUGUACAUUAUUCUCAAUUGACAAUUUUGUUUAUACAAUCAAAUUUCUGCAAAAUACUCCAACUAUGAAAACAAAGUUUUUUUUUUUAAUGGAAAGGGGUUUAGUUUAUCUUAAGACUUGAUGUGGUGACAUUAUGUUGGCUGUGUUUUAUGCUGUGGAUUUACUGUCAUACCCAGUGACGUCAGCACAGACCACGUCAUUAAGUUAGGGGUUCACCACUUCAACCAAGUGUUUAGCUUUCUGGGUUGAAGGUUUGGAGAAAUUUAUUUGUGGGAUAAAUGGAGAUUUAGGCUGUUGAAGCAUAAGUGUUGUUUAGAAAAUAUGUGCUAUUUACAUUGUGCACAAAACUAUAUGAGACACAGAUAUAAGAAUGUAUUACUAUGUAUAUAUCUAGUAUAAACACACCAUGAUUAAAUAUCAUUUGUUCUGUAAUUGUCAAUUGAGAAAAUAAAUUGUAAGACAAAAGCAUUGGUAAUGAUUGAACACAGACAGUUUAAUCAAGCAGCAACUUUUGAAGAAGUAAUUUUGUCCUAAAAGUCAAAAGUAAGUAAAGCCAUAAUUGAACUUAAACUGCUGAAGUUCAAAUUAAAGCACAUAUUCACCAUCAAUGACUGUGCCUAAAGACACAGGCAGUGAUACAGAGGCAGAAGUGAGAAGCACAGCUGGUUCAAGCACAGCUGGCACCUCCCUGGGAAAGUGCCAAUAAUCCCUCUGACACAUGCAAGGCUCCCAGUGCUGGAGAAAACCAAGAAUACAGGGCUAAAAUUUGGCAGCUACUUAUCAGCAUGUGAUUUAGUGACAUAAGAUAGCUAAGUACAUAAUUACCUAUAUAUAUAUUUUUUAAUUCUCAAAAUACUGCUGGUGCACAGGAGUUCUCAAUGGGAAUCAGGAAGAAAUCUGGGAGACUUUCCAAGUGCAGGAUUGGAAGGCUUACAUAGUCACAAUUAUGAUUUUAGAAAAACAGACCACAAAUAUGUCACGCAGACUGGAGAGUGUGAUGUAUAGAUAAACACAUACACACUGCAUUGAUUGUAUUUUGUAACAAAAGGGAUGAAGACCAGCAUGUGUGUCUUUGACAGGAUAGCUCAAACAAAAAUCACAUGUACAGCAAACAUUCCCCAUAAUUCUUGAAAUUAGGCAAAAGUGUGUUAAAACUCCAAGUUGCACAAGGACUUAAAAUGCUUGUAUGCAGUUUGGGAAAUGAUUGAAGGAAAAUAGAAAGUGUCUGUGACAAGAAAGCAAAAAGACAGCUUUGAGAUGAUGGUAACAUAUUUUUAGAGCAUAAGUAAGUUCUCUUAAAAUCAGUUCUCUCUAUGCUUGUUCAUUACUCCUAGUCAUAUUACUAGAAAUUCCUUCAACGUACCUGGGAGCACAAAUUAACAUAAUAUUAGCAAUGAAUCUACUGACAUAUUUCAAGUACUUGGACUACUGUGAACUGAGAGAUUGAGUCAAUUUUAAGAGAUCACUUAAAAUCAACUUCAGUACAUUGUUUCUCCUGGUGUGAAGUAAUGUGGUUAUGUGGUCUCACUCAACAAAGUCGUGCCUGCGUGGAGCAGCUGGUGUGCCUGAUCUUCACGUGUGGUCUCCCCUUGAUUUUGCUGGAUUCAGGAUCAUCUGCAGAGAGCACAUGUAUCUGGAUAAUGGAUUUGCCUCACUGAAAUUGCAGCCUUCAAGACAGACCAGCAGCUCAGCAGUGCACCUGGAUACUUUAGCAGGAAAUGAAGCUGUUUGGAAUACAAAGGAAAAAAAAAUCUGCAUGGGUCAUGUUUUUCAUAUGAAAAUAAUUAGAUAUUGUAGAUAUUCCUUCCCCUCUCUGGAUGAUUCUCACAGAUCAAUGAGUGGAGGCUGUCCUGAGUGGUCCAGGACAGUGGUCCAGGUUAAUAAGUACUUUGUUAAACCUAUUCACAUCUUUCCUUAAUCACAGAUCUUACAUAAACUCUGUUAUCAAUACUCGAUACUUCCAAAGGAGAGCUAAAACGAGAGAGAGUCUGUUUCAGAAAAGCACUGAAUGCACACAUACAAAUCACACAGAUGGGCUUACUGCUGACAAACAGACAAAAAUCAAAAAUUAAAUGUCCACAUUCCUUAUCAAGAAAAGGAAACAAACAAAUAAAAGAUCAGAAGAAGGGAUCAUUCAGUAUUUUUUCCCAAUAUUAUAUGAAUAGUCUAUUUGUAAGCCUGGAGAGUGAUGUGUUUAAACUGGAAGCAUAAAUGUAUAUUUCAAUACAAAAGCACAAGAACAUCUGUAUUUCUAACUGUUUAUGUCACAAUUUGCACAUAUUUUCUUAUGUCUUCCAACCAAAAUUUAUUCUACCUAUUUUUUUUAAUAAUAAGUUUCUAAGAAUAGGUAUAUUAAAUAAAAGAAAUUAUGUGUGGGAUGCAAAUUCUCAUUAUAAAAAUGUUUCUAUCCCUCUGGCUUUAGAGAUAACUUACCAAACAUAAAUUGCUUCAGUAAUAAGGUUUCAUGAAUACAUUACAUAUCCCUGCAUAAAUUUGUGGGGAGCACUUUUUGUCUGAAGCAUAGAAAACAUUCCACAAUAAAUACAAAUGUUCAUACCUACUUUAAAAACAAAAAAAAUAUAUAUUUUUUUACAUUUACGAAGCUUUUUUG
rnacentral:lncRNA from 1 species